rnacentral:rRNA from 1 species
UCCGUAGGUGAACCUGCGGAAGGAUCAUUAAUGAAUACAGAUGCCUGUCGAGCUUGCUCACGGGCUUUCUAUCAUAUCCAUAACACCUGUGCACUUGUUGGAUGAUCUAAAGACAUAGGGUAAAACCUAAAGUCAAUAGUCAUCCACUUACACUAAACAAUAAUGUAACAAAUGUAGUCUUAUUAUAACAAAAUAAAACUUUCAACAACGGAUCUCUUGGCUCUCGCAUCGAUGAAGAACGCAGCGAAAUGCGAUAAGUAAUGUGAAUUGCAGAAUUCAGUGAAUCAUCGAAUCUUUGAACGCACCUUGCGCUCCUUGGUAUUCCGAGGAGCAUGCCUGUUUGAGUGUCAUGAAAACCCUCAACCUUAGAUUGGUUAUUUGACCUUUCUUUGGCUUGGAUUUGGACGUUUGCCGAUGUCAAGUCGGCUCGUCUUAAAAGUAAUAGCUGGAUCUGUCUCGCGACAUGGUUUGACUUGGCGUAAUAAGUAUUUCGCUAAGGACAUCUUCGGAUGGCCCUGUUGCAGGACUAAAGACCGCUUUCUAAUCCAUUGGAUCUUCGGGGAUUAAUAUUCUUGACAUCUGGGCCUCAAAUCAGGGGUAGGGGGACUACCCGGCUGGAACUUAAGG